rnacentral:rRNA from 1 species
UACAGAGGUGGCAAGCGUUGUUCGGAAUUACUGGGCGUAAAGGGCGCGUAGGCGGUCAGGUCAGUCCCGUGUGAAAUCCCUCGGCUUAACCGAGGAACUGCCUGCCAGACUGUGAGGCUUGAGACCGGGAGAGGUGAGUGGAAUUCCCAGUGUAGCGGUGAAAUGCGUAGAUAUUGGGAGGAACACCAGUGGCGAAGGCGGCUCACUGGGCCGAUACUGACGCUGAGGAGCGAAAGCGUGGGGAGCGAACAGG